ACAAUCCCGUGUCGUUCGGAGCUUUCUUUUUUCCCAGUCCAGUGACUAUGUUAUGUUUCCAUAUAGGCUUUGAAUCUUUACCUUUCACUCGGACAUUUAAUAUAUUUUGUUGAGAACAGGCCUACGCCUAACCACUGGCCUGCACGUCACCAUGAGUAGUAGUAGCUCUCCUAAACUCCCUACGCAGCGUGCUCCGCGUCAAGUUUUCGGAACGUGCCGAAACAUUUAGAGGCAUGAGGUUAAAACCCUUAGCCGCGGUUGGUUUCCUCAACGAAAGCCUUGAAGGCUGAAAGGCUGAAAGGGGUAUGGAACAAUAGCUAGCCCAGGGCGCUUGGACAGAAACCCGCGUGGAAGAAGCAUUAGCUAAAAAAGAGGGAGGGCCUUGGGUAGUGCCCGCGUUUUAGUUCCAACUUCCAAGUGUUGGGCGUUUCUUUUUCCUUUUUUUUUUUUUUUUUUUUUCGCCCCUGGGCUUAGAAGUUAGCAUGGUCGUGCUACAACACGCUGGCGGGGAUGAUGGUUUGGUAGAAGGAGCGGCGUUGGUCUGGGAGAUCAAUCGAUCGAGGAUAGAAUAUUCUAGGGUCCUUUGGACCAAACUCUAGUACCUUUUUACAUUUCUUUGCUAAACCUACGAUCUUUGGCUUUGAUGAUUGUCAGAUCAAGAUCAGUUGUCAAUUACUCAUGAGGCCCUGCUGAUGUGUUGAAGUUCGGCGACCUCUUGACCAGGCUUGUAUGAGAAGAAAUAAAAAUGUGCAUAAUCGUCAACAAUAAUGUACACCACUCGCGCAUCAUUUCACUUGAAAUCAUGUUGAUCCAUUUGAGGAGCCGAUCUUACCAUUAUGUACGGAUGUAGAUUAUCAAGAAUAGUGAAUGAAAAGAGGGUUGUCAGCAUCAUGGUAAAUUAAUAGUUCACGAAUUAUUUCUUGAUUAUUGAGAUCCACUGUGAUGGGGGUUGGUUGGAAAUAAUCAAUAACAAUGCAGAGCGGUCUGGUGGAGAACUUGUUUGUAUUUUGGGAUUUGAGACGCUGCUUGAUGAACGAGCUGGGUGAUUUGCAGACAAUUGGUUCCCCCUGGUUCUCCUUCACCCCCAAAAGAGCGAGAACUAGCCCCUGUAUUUGCCUUUCGCGUCAGCUUUUCCCUUCCCUACAACCCUGUCUUGCGAAGCGCAAAUAUCGCAGAUUCCGGG
rnacentral:sRNA from 1 species